GACGAGGGAUCCUAGCGUUGUUCGGAAUCACUGGGCGUAAAGCGUUUGUAGGCGGCUCUAUAAGUCGGGUGUGAAAUCCCACGGCUCAACCGUGGAAGUGCAUUCGAAACUGCAGAGCUUGAAUAUGGAAGAGGAGAGUAGAAUUGCUGGUGUAGUGGUGAAAUACGUAGAUAUCAGCAGGAAUACCGGUGGCGAAGGCGGCUCUCUGGUCCAAUAUUGACGCUGAGAAACGAAAGUGCGGGGGUCAAACAGG
rnacentral:rRNA from 1 species